GGGGACCCGCCGGCGGGGUAGGAGGAGCCGGCGCCACCGUCACCCCCGGGGCGCAGCGCCUCUGCAGGAUCUCCGUCUGGGUCUGGCAGACCGUCAUCCACCUGCUGCAGAUGGGGCAGGUCUGGAGCUUAAGCCAUGAAGCGUUAAGGCUGAACUGGGGUUAAUUUUGCCACCGCCCGAUUCCGUCAUAGAAGGUGCUGUAGGAGAAUCGUCGCAGUGAAAAACUUCCACCAGAAAUGGUCUGAUUUUAUGGGUGAUGAGAUGUGCCACCGCUUGGAUCAGUAUGUUUCAUUGAAUUUUGGGAAGGGCCGGAUUUUUUUGUUAUUCUUGGGUUGGGUUUUUGGAGUUGCUGUGAUGAUAAGUCAGGGUUGGCAGAUCCAGGAGAGGCGUAGCUACGUAUAUAAAUAUGUAUAAUACUACAUGUGCACAGAGCAAAGGAAUCCAUCCCAGGGCAGAAGAAGACCCGGAGGAGCUGCCGCAGUAGAGGGAAGGGGCAAGCGUUGGGUGAGGAGUUGUUCAGACUCAACUGAUAUCGAAGUGUGAUGAAAACUAGUGGUGCCCACGUGGACUAAGUGCAGGUUCUUUUAGCGUAGAAGCUGACUUCCACCAAAAAAACCCUGGGAUUUAUUCCACCAGCAGUGCUGGGACAGCUGGAGAUCACCUCAACCCCAGGUGCUAUGGUAGGAACACCACAGGAGAAGAAGAUCUCUUGUAUUUAGAAGGUGAAGCUGAAGCAGCAUCUUCUGGAAACGGCGCAAUCUCACAACACUGAGGGUCCCAGACAGGGGGGAGUUUUGCCACUGGCUUUGGCAUCGCUGGGACUUCACCCCUUGGCCAGAGAAAGCGUGGCUUUAAUUUCCACCCACACCCACAACCACAUCCUCUGCCUGAGCGCUCCCCAUCUUCGGCCAGGACAACACCAGAGGGGUCAUGAGCUGUGUUCGGGGCAUUCAGAAGGAAAAAAGAUAUUAAAAAAUAAAAUUAUAUAUAUAUGUGUCUAAAAAUAAAAGCAUCUGGAGAUUUCUGGGCUUGUGUUAGAUGUGAUGGGAUCUGGGUGAUGACAUCCUGACAGUAACCAAGUGGACAAACCUGUGUAAAGAUGCUUUUCCUUCAUUACCACCCCAACCAUUCCUUUAUAAAAGCCCAUUCAAAAUAACUCCGCUCUCCGGGAUGCUCGACUUGCUCUGUUUUCAGCUGGCCACUGCUGAUCCUUCUAAAAAAGUGAGGUUUUUAACUUCCAGAGUUCAGAAAUCUCUGCGGAAGAUGAAGGGAGUCAGAGGCAUCGGCUUUGAUCCCUUUCUGCCAGCAUAGGAUUAUUCCGCGUCGCGCUGGUUUUGAAGUUCAUGUUUAAUCCGGUUUUACACGUCCCGGGGGACCGGGGCUUCUUACAACUUCUUCUGUGGAGCAGUUUUGUGUGGCGUAGCCUCUGAUUUAGAGCUCCAAUUUGCAUUUCCAUCGCUGCAUCCCAUUUCAUCCCGUGCCACGUGCAUUAACGUCGCUGCUUCGUGACAAGACGGCUUUCAAAGGCUAUUUUAUAUGCUCACUACACACCUGGUCAAACUAUAUAUAUAUUUAUUUGAACCCCAGUCUUGGAAAACAGCUGCACGUGACUUGUCUGUAGGUUUUCCAACAUAUUUACCUACAAAAAAGGGUUUAUAGUAGUGUCCAGCGUGGAUCGCAGUGCACGAAAACAAACGGGUGUGAAACAAGAUGAAAAGAGCCACAUGCACAGAAAUCUCACCCAUCGAAGCAAAGAGGAGGGUCAUGUAACUCUUUUCCAGCAGGUUUAACUGGUCAGUCCUGAGGUUUGGUGUUUUUUAUUUUAAAGCACAUGGUUUUACACAUGGUGAGUUUGCAAAACCCUAAGUUUUCUUUACAAUAAAUGUGUAUUUUCAGGCUUAACAAUAAAACUACUUCUCUGUCGUC